rnacentral:lncRNA from 1 species
AGGUCUCAGGCUCAUGGAGGGCCCAUUCCCCAUUGUGAUGGACGGGCAGGCACAGUCAGCCUGGAGGGUCCCGCAGCCCUUCACACAACAAUAGAAUGAGGACAGAUGAUGUGCUUGGGACCUGGGUUCAGGUUGGAGAUCCUCCACUGCUCCGCUGACCUACAGGGGACUCGGCCUUAUACCAUGUGAAAUUUGGACAUUUCCUUGU